UACAGAGGGUGCGAGCGUUAAUCGGAAUUACUGGGCGUAAAGCGUGCGUAGACGGUUAUUUAAGUCGGGUGUGAAAGCCCCGGGCUCAACCUGGGAAUUGCAUUCGAGACUGAAUAGCUAGGGUACGGUAGAGGGAAGUGGAAUUCCGGUGUAGCGGUGAAAUGCGUAGAUAUCGGAAGGAACAUCAGUGGCGAAAGCGACUUCCUGGACCAGUACCGACGUCAGGCACGAAAGCGUGGGGAGCAAACAGGA
rnacentral:rRNA from 1 species